GGCGGCGUGCUUAACACAUGCAAGUCGAACGGACUUUACAUGAAGCCUAGCGAAUGUAAAGUUAGUGGCGGACGGGUGAGUAACGCGUGAAUAACCUGCCUUAUACUGGGGGACAACAGUUGGAAACGACUGCUAAUACCGCAUAAGCGCACGGAGCUGCAUGGCUCAGUGUGAAAAACUCCGGUGGUAUAAGAUGGAUUCGCGUCUGAUUAGCUAGUUGGUGAGGUAACGGCCCACCAAGGCGACGAUCAGUAGCCGGCCUGAGAGGGUGAACGGCCACAUUGGGACUGAGACACGGCCCAAACUCCUACGGGAGGCAGCAGUGGGGAAUAUUGCACAAUGGGGGAAACCCUGAUGCAGCGACGCCGCGUGAACGAUGAAGUAUUUCGGUAUGUAAAGUUCUAUCAGCAGGGAAGAUAAUGACGGUACCUGACUAAGAAGCACCGGCUAAAUACGUG
rnacentral:rRNA from 1 species